CUCCACUCCUGGAAGAAGUCUCUCUCUUGCUUUUCGAAAAUCCAAAGUUGAACCUGUUGUUCCAGAUAUGCAAAUGAAAGGCUUUGUGGAUGACCAUGGUGUCUUAGAUCUUAAUGUGAAAAUGUCUUCAGAUCCACUGCCACAGACGAGCGCUAAAACUUCAGAUUUAGAGUGGUGGGAAACACAAGAGCGGGAAGAUCAGAUU
rnacentral:misc_RNA from 1 species